UACGUAGGGGGCUAGCGUUGUCCGGAUUUAUUGGGCGUAAAGAGCGUGUAGGCGGCCUGACAGGUCUGCUGUGAAAACUCGAGGCUCAACCUCGAGAUGUCGGCGGAAACCGUCUGGCUAGAGUCCGGAAGAGGAGAGUGGAAUUCCUGGUGUAGCGGUGAAAUGCGCAGAUAUCAGGAAGAACACCUAUGGCGAAGGCAGCGCUCUGGGACGGUACUGACGCUGAGACGCGAAAGCGUGGGGAGCGA
rnacentral:rRNA from 1 species